CAUUAUCAAUUAAAUUCCAACACAAUUACCAAAUCUCUAUAAUUAACAAUCAAAGUUAGAUUCUAAAGUCAUUUUAAUUAUACCUAAUCAUUUCUAAUAUUAACCAAUUAUUUCUAAUAUUAACUAAUUAAUUAACACAACUCAAUCUAAUACUACUAAACUAUGCCAAUUAACAAAAGCGAUGGAGGUGGAUCCAUCUCCAAAAACAGCAUGGGCCUGAAAAGUUGCCUAGGGCCCAACCGCGGGAGGGUAUAUGGACAAUGGAGGGAGUAUGUACAUCAGCUGGAAAAAACUUGGGCCUAAAUUGGACUUAAGGCCCAAACCUAGUGGAUAAUAACGCCUGGAUCCUUCCCUCUCACUAAUCAUCGGAGGUCUCUUACCAGAAGAAAAAGAAUAACAAACAAACGUGCGUCGUCCUAGCCAUAGAUUACCGGCGACGGUGCGACCUCGCUCCAUCCCCCACCUCCUAACCUAGCUGAAGCCAGUAAUAAACUCCAAAUAACAAAAUCUAAGACAUCACGAUAUGACUUGGUAACGGCGGAGAUGGAUCAAACAAGAUAAAUAGGCUCCAACUACAACUCACACUACAACAAACUGAUCGACAAGGCAAAAGGAGGAGAGAGCCUAUCGGUGAUGGCGGAGGCGGUCUCGAGUUUGAACGGCGUCGAUUUUGAAUUCAAGCGUUCCACUUCUUGUUCAAUCUUCUACCUUUUGAUUCACUUCGGCGACGACGAAUGGAAGGAGACGAACGCGGCGGCUCCGAUUCAGGUAAUUGAAGGAGUGAGAUUGAAGGUUGUUUGCGGAUCAAUGAAGGUUUGGUUAUAUGAUGGUGAUUGGUACGUGAGUUGAAUCGUGGUGGAAACGAUGGUCGGUUUGUGGUUUGAUGGAGGUUGCGAUCGAGAAUUUGUUACAGUUGGGAAGAAGGUGGUGGAGGAUUCGGUUAGAGGGAAGGAGAAAGAGAGAAGAACGAGUUCUGAACAAAAUUUUCGAGCCAAAUUCAUUGUAGAACCAUGUAUUUAUAGAGAUUUUUGAGGAUUGAACUUGGGUGUAUUUUGAUGUUGCACGUGGCUUUUGGAUGCGUCAUUUCAUGAUGCAUUUUGCCGUUUCUUUCAGCUGGACGCGUUGCGAGCUGCGUUUGCCUUUGCCGUUUAGCACUGGCUUGUGAUUAUUGUUGCGGUUGCGUUCUUUAUUUUGCUGCCGUUUGGAUUGAAGCUUUCUCCAUUAUAUUUAGGUAGCUUGUACUUUUGGAUGCAGCUCAAGUGUUGCCUUCGUUUUGGCUUGUCGGCGUUUACGUGCAGCUGGGAGUUUUGUAGCAGCUUUUGCCGUUGUUUUGUAUCAGCUUGGACUUGCUAGCGGCUUGUUUAUGCACUUAUAGCUUAUAAUUUCCGUUAACUUUCACUGCCAGCUUGUAUUCAAUUUGGUUGCUCAUGGCUUGUGAGUUUCAUGUUUGUGCCUUGUUGUAGCUGCUUGUGCCAGCUUCUAUAGCAGUAGCUGCACUUCGCGUUUGCAGCUUUGGAUA